UACGAAGGGGGCUAGCGUUGCUCGGAAUCACUGGGCGUAAAGCGCACGUAGGCGGAUCCUUAAGUCGGGGGUGAAAUCCUGGAGCUCAACUCCAGAACUGCCUUCGAUACUGAGGAUCUCGAGUCCGGGAGAGGUGAGUGGAACUGCGAGUGUAGAGGUGAAAUUCGUAGAUAUUCGCAAGAACACCAGUGGCGAAGGCGGCUCACUGGCCCGGUACUGACGCUGAGGUGCGAAAGCGUGGGGAGCGAACAGG
rnacentral:rRNA from 1 species